CUACGUGCCAGCAGCCGCGGUAAUACGUAGGUCCCGAGCGUUGUCCGGAUUUAUUGGGCGUAAAGCGAGCGCAGGCGGUUAGAUAAGUCUGAAGUUAAAGGCUGUGGCUUAACCAUAGUACGCUUUGGAAACUGUUUAACUUGAGUGCAAGAGGGGAGAGUGGAAUUCCAUGUGUAGCGGUGAAAUGCGUAGAUAUAUGGAGGAACACCGGUGGCGAAAGCGGCUCUCUGGCUUGUAACUGACGCUGAGGCUCGAAAGCGUGGGGAGCAAACAGGAUUAGAUACCCUGGUAGUCCACGCCGUAAACGAUGAGUGCUAGGUGUUAGACCCUUUCCGGGGUUUAGUGCCGUAGCUAACGCAUUAAGCACUCCGCCUGGGGAGUACGACCGCAAGGUUGAAACUCAAAGGAAUUGACGGGGGCCCGCACAAGCGGAGGAACAUGUGGUUUAAUUCGAUGAUACGCGAGGAACCUUACCCGGGCUUGAAUUGCAGAGGAAGGAUUUAGAGAUAAUGACG
rnacentral:rRNA from 1 species